CCUUAUUGUGGGGUGGAUUUUGUUUAAAGGAAAUGACUUCUGACCUUUGUAGGUCUUUUCCUUCUUACAGAAUGUAGAUGGUAAAAGCUUUGUAUUAAUAUGUUUCAUCUAUGUCCAUCCAUCCGUCCAUCCAUCUUACACUGCUUAUCCUUCUCAGACAUGGGGAACCUGGAGCCUCUCCCAGAGACUCUGGGCACAAGUCAAGGUUUACCCUGGACAGGAUGCCAGUCUAUCGCAGGACACACAUUUACACAACCAUUCACUCACUAUGGACAAUUUAAAGAUGCCAAUCAGCCUAUAACAUGCCUUCAGACUGUGGUAUAGAAAACCGGAGAACCCUGAGAAAACCUCCAAGGCACGUCUGCAGGUUGUUUUAUUUCUACGCGGCCUGGUAACAAACGAUCUACGAGCUGGUGUUUGGGGAAUCCUGGUCUACAACAUAUGUGUUUGGACUGGGGGAGAGAACUGGAGUAGCCAGAGGAAACCCCUGAAGCCCAGGAAGAACACGCAAAGUCCACACACAGGACGGAGGCUGGAAUCGAACACUGAAGAUCACAUAAUCACCCAGCAGAUCUCUGCAUUUCUUCAGCUCAGGCCACAGCAGAAAGCCGAUAACUCGGACAGUGGGCAAGUCCAUUUGAUGAGAAAGCAUCGAUCAUGUAAGGCUGAGUCAUUCUCUCACACUCUGAGGGAGAUGGACUCACUGAUACGGCCUGCAGACUUUUAUCUCCUGGCAAGUGAAGUCCAUGGAAACAGCAGAUCACGAGAGCUCCACUUGUCUAUUUUUUGCCUUUGACAAUUCUGUCAUUUUUUUUUCAUGGACUGAAAUCUGAUUUGCAAAGAAGAUUCAUUUUUCAAGAGUCAUCCAUCUACGUAAAAUGCCUGCCAUAUAAAUGGAUAAGAAAAUACCAUUGUUGAAAAUGUAAUGCUUGGCUAAUACAGAUUGUUGCCUGGUUCUAAAUAAGACACAAAAGUGGUUAGGUUUUGUUUCGCACCAGCUCUUUAUGUGACCACUUGUCUGAAGUCCUAUUAUUAAAGAGCUUUGACUCCUUCUUAGG